AUUUGAAGUCAGAUGCGGAGGUCAGACGCUGUCGUCGACAGAAGAUGGAUGCGGGGCAGGCUGUGGAGGAGGCGAAGAUUUCACCUACUUGGAUAAGGUCGGGGAGGAGGAGGAAGAGCUGGAGUCCUCAUACACAGCCGUCUACCCGACGUCCGACACCGAAGUCAUGGACAUGUCCGACGAUGAUAGCUAGGACAGUACGUAUGUAUAUAUGAUGAUGCAUAUAUAGAUGUUAUAUAUGAUGAUGCAUGAUGCGAGCAUGAAG
rnacentral:lncRNA from 1 species